CUUGGGUUCUGGGGAGUAUGGUCGCAAGACUGAAACUUAAAGAAUGACGGAAGGGCACACAGGAGUGGAGCUGCGGCUUAAUUUGACUCAACACGGGGAGAGGUAGGCAGGUCCAGACAUAGUAAGGAUGACAGAUGAUAGCACUAUAAUAGAAAAUGAGGGGUGGUGGUGCAUGCCGUCUUAGUGGUGGAGUGUUGUCUGUUGCUUCCGUUUCGCGCAGACCUUACUGCUAAUUAGUCGUCCCCAUUUUAUGGGACACGACUUCUUAGAGGGACUAUGCAUAUCAAGUGCAUGGAAGUUUGAGGCAAUAACAGGUCUGUGAUGCCUUAUAUGAACUGGGCUGCACGCGUGCUACACUGAUGCAUACAACAAGUGCCUAACCAGACAUAGUAUGGCAAUCUGGAAUAUGCAUCGUGAUGGGGAUAGAUCUUUGCAAUUAUAGAUCUUGAACGAGGAAUUCCUAGUAAGUGCAAGUCAUCAUCUUACAUUGAUUAUGUCCCUGCCCUUGUACACACCGCCCGUCGCUCCUACCGAUACCGGGUGAUCCGGUGAACCUUUGGACCUCGCAAGAGGAAAAAUAAGUAAACCUAUCACCUAGAGGAAGGAGA
rnacentral:rRNA from 1 species